rnacentral:rRNA from 1 species
GACGAACGCUGGCGGCGUGCUUAACACAUGCAAGUCGUACGGUAAGGCCCUUUCGGGGGUACACGAGUGGCGAACGGGUGAGUAACACGUGAGUAACCUGCCCACAACUUUGGGAUAACGCUAGGAAACUGGUGCUAAUACUGGAUAUGAGCUCCUGCUGCAUGGUGGGGGUUGGAAAGCUCCGGCGGUUGUGGAUGGACUCGCGGCCUAUCAGCUUGUUGGUGGGGUAGUGGCCUACCAAGGCGGCGACGGGUAGCCGGCCUGAGAGGGUGACCGGCCACAUUGGGACUGAGAUACGGCCCAGACUCCUACGGGAGGCAGCAGUGGGGAAUAUUGCACAAUGGGCGCAAGCCUGAUGCAGCAACGCCGCGUGCGGGAUAACGGCCUUCGGGUUGUAAACCGCUUUCAGCAGGGACGAAGCUUUUUGUGACGGUACCUGCAGAAGAAGCACCGGCUAACUACGUG